UGGGGGAUAUUGCACAAUGGGCGAAAGCCUGAUGCAGCGACGCCGCGUGGGGGAUGAAGGCUUUCGGGUUGUAAACCUCUUUCGCUAUCGAACAAGGCCCGCUUAGGGUGGGUUGAGGGUAGGUGGAGAAGAAGCGCCGGCUAACUACGUGCCAGCAGCCGCGGUAAUACGUAGGGCGCGAGCGUUGUCCGGAAUUAUUGGGCGUAAAGGGCUUGUAGGCGGCUUGUUGCGCCUGCUGUGAAAACGCGGGGCUUAACUUCGCGCGUGCAGUGGGUACGGGCAGGCUUGAGUGUGGUAGGGGUGACUGGAAUUCCAGGUGUAGCGGUGGAAUGCGCAGAUAUCUGGAGAAACACCGAUGGCGAAGGCAGGUCACUGGGCCAUUACUGACGCUGAGGAGCGAAAGCAUGGGUAGCGAACAGG
rnacentral:rRNA from 1 species